rnacentral:rRNA from 1 species
UACGGGGGGGGUAAGCGUUGUUCGGAAUUACUGGGCGUAAAGGGCUCGUAGGCGGCCAACUAAGUCAGACGUGAAAUCCCUCAGCUUAACUGGGGAACUGCGUCUGAUACUGGAUGGCUUGGAUUCGGGAGAGGAAUGCGGAAUUCCAGGUGUAGCGGUGAAAUGCGCAGAUAUCAGGAGGAACACCCGUGGCGAAGGCGGCUCUCUGGGACGGUACUGACGCUGAGACGCGAAAGCGUGGGGAGCAAACAGG